rnacentral:rRNA from 1 species
GAUGAACGCUGGCGGCGUGCUUAACACAUGCAAGUCGAACGGUGAAGGCGGAGCUUGCUCUGCUGGAUCAGUGGCGAACGGGUGAGUAACACGUGAGCAAUCUGCCCCUGACUCUGGGAUAAGCGCUGGAAACGGCGUCUAAUACUGGAUACGAGCUGCGAAGGCAUCUUCAGCAGCUGGAAAGAAUUUCGGUCAGGGAUGAGCUCGCGGCCUAUCAGCUUGUUGGUGAGGUAAUGGCUCACCAAGGCGUCGACGGGUAGCCGGCCUGAGAGGGUGACCGGCCACACUGGGACUGAGACACGGCCCAGACUCCUACGGGAGGCAGCAGUGGGGAAUAUUGCACAACGGGCGAAAGCCUGAUGCAGCAACGCCGCGUGAGGGACGACGGCCUUCGGGUUGUAAACCUCUUUUAGCAGGGAAGAAGCGAAAGUGACGGUACCUGCAGAAAAAGCGCCGGCUAACUACGUG